rnacentral:rRNA from 1 species
ACCGAAGUUAAGCAUCAUUGGGCGCGGUCAGUACUUGGGUGGGUGACCACCUGGGAACACUGCGUGCCGUU